rnacentral:lncRNA from 1 species
UUUUUUUUUUUUUUUUUUGGAGAGAUGAGGUCUUACUAUAUUGCCCAGACUGGUCUCAAACUCCCAGGCUCAAGAGGUCCUCCUACCUCAGCCUCCCAAAGUCCUGGGAUAACAGGCGUGAGCCGCCUUGCCCAGCCAUUGUACACUUCUUUAUCCCCAUUGUCGUGACAUGAAAACCGAGGCUUCAAGAAGAAACUCAUUGGCCCGGGUCACUCAGUCAGCAAGCAUUGGUCCAAUGAAGGCCUCACUCAGUGCCAGCAUCCUCUUUAAAAGUCACUGAUGGAUGAUUGUCCACCAGCUACCUACUAGACACUUCCUCUGACGGGGAGCUCACUGCCUAAAAGAGCAGCCCUUCUUAUUGUGGGGGAGCAAAUAGACAGAAAAUCCAUCCCGACAGUGAGCAGAAGCCAGCAUCCCUGAGCGUGGCUACCCUAGACCCAGGUGAGCCCCGGAGGCAAUGCCUUCAUCCCCCAGCAUCCUGGAAUAACAUUCAGCCACUACAGAAGCUCUUCCACACAGAGCUGUCAGAUGGUUGAUUAAUUGAUUGAUUGGUGUUUGGGCUCAUUCUGCAGCCAGACACUGGGCUUAGUCUGUGAUCAGAGUCAGGGCUUAGUCAAUGGUAGAGGUCAGGGGUCAGGUACCCAGCCAAGGUCAGGGUUACCAUCUUUGCCUGUGAACAGACUUUCUGCACGUUAAGCUUCCAGGCCCUUCCAGGGGUCAUGCUGCAAUCUUGGCCUCAUUAGCACAUGAGUCUCACCAACCAGCUGGGCCCAUCUGGUUUCUUAUUAAUCCAGAAGUGAGUUGGAGGAAGCAGCCUUCUGAGGAGUGAGCAGCCCUGGAUUAAAGAGCUUGCCAGGCAUGCCAUCACCUCCUCUUCUCUGCAGCCAGGAAAGCAUCGUGCCCUUCUCUCUCCUGUAGCCUUCAGCCCCUCCCCACUAUGGCCAGACCAUGGGGCUUUGGCUUCCUGUGGGGCCAGAGGGGAGGCAGGUGGAAGGAAGAGCUGGGAGUAAAGGGAGGGCUCCUCUGUAGGGAGGGACAUUGUAGGGACAGAGAAAGUGGGUGUCAUGAGGUUAUCCAAGGUCCAGCUAUGCCCAGCCGUGGCACCUUCAGGUGGAUGGGUCUCAUUUCCAUUCCACAUGCUUUAAAUGGCUGUUCAUACUGCAUAAAAGCCACUUUCAUUCCAGUUCCACAAAA